GCGGGGCCCCGCGGAGGGGCCCGGCUUUGUGGAGGAUUAGAGGCUCCCGCCCUACCCUACCUGCGUGUGUGUCGCCUGUCUGGAACCGGGAGCUUCCCCAGCUGAGGACCACAGUGAGAGCAGAGAAGACCCAGGAUCGUAUUUGAAACCAUAAAAGCCACAUGAAGACACUAAGAAUAACUUGCAGAAAGACAUUUUCUAUGAAUUGAACACAGAGUCCCAAAACCCAGAAAGUUCCCUGGUCUCUAUCUCAUGGGCCCGUGUCUGGGGAAGGGGGCCCGAUGUGAGGCUGGGGCCAGUGCCCAUCCUAUUUGAUCUUUAUCUUAAAUCCACUUCAAAAUGCUGUGGCUUGGUGGAUUGAAGGUUCGCCCCUUCCUGUAAUUAUUUGGUGUCUGGUAAAGUUUUUAUGAGUGUUUGUGCAAA
ensembl:lncRNA LMX1B-DT LMX1B divergent transcript